rnacentral:rRNA from 1 species
UACGUAGGGAGCGAGCGUUGUCCGGAUUUAUUGGGCGUAAAGAGCUCGUAGGCGGCUUGUCGCGUCGACCGUGAAAACUCGCAGCUCAACUGCGAGCCUGCGGUCGAUACGGGCAGGCUAGAGUUCGGUAGGGGAGACUGGAAUUCCUGGUGUAGCGGUGAAAUGCGCAGAUAUCAGGAGGAACACCGAUGGCGAAGGCAGGUCUCUGGGCCGAUACUGACGCUGAGGAGCGAAAGCGUGGGGAGCGAACAGG